GAUGAACGCUGGCGGCGUGCCUAAUACAUGCAAGUCGAGCGAACAGACGAGGAGCUUGCUCCUCUGACGUUAGCGGCGGACGGGUGAGUAACACGUGGAUAACCUACCUAUCUGACUGGGAUAACUUCGGGAAACCGGAGCUAAUACCGGAUAAUAUAUUGAACCGCAUGGUUCAAUAGUGAAAGACGGUUUUGCUGUCACUUAUAGAUGGAUCCGCGCCGCAUUAGCUAGUUGGUAAGGUAACGGCUUACCAAGGCGACGAUGCGUAGCCGACCUGAGAGGGUGAUCGGCCACACUGGAACGGAGACACGGUCCAGACUCCUACGGGAGGCAGCAGUAGGGAAUCUUCCGCAAUGGGCGAAAGCCUGACGGAGCAACGCCGCGUGAGUGAUGAAGGUCUUCGGAUCGUAAAACUCUGUUAUUAGGGAAGAACAAAUGUGUAAGUAACUAUGCACGUCUUGACGGUACCUAAUCAGAAAGCCACGGCUAACUACGUG
rnacentral:rRNA from 1 species